rnacentral:tRNA from 1 species
CGGGCAGUGAUCGGUCGGCGGGGUCGCCGGAUGGACGCCGGCGACAUGGCCGGGGCCGUUCGGGUCGGCCCAGGCCGCC